GAWUUAUUGGGCGUAAAGCGGGCGCAGACGGUUACUUAAGCAGGAUGUGAAAUCCCCGGGCUCAACCUGGGAAUUGCGUUYUGAACUGGGUGASUAGAGUGUGUCAGAGGGAGGUAGAWUUCCACGUGUAGCAGUGAAAUGCGUAGAKAUGUGGAGGAAUACCGAUGGCGAAGGCAGCCUCCUGGGAUAACACUGACGUUCAUGCCCGAAAGCGUGGGUAGCAAACAGGAUUAGAUWCCCUGGUAGUCCACGCCCUAAACGAUGUCGAUUAGCUGGUUGUCGGCAGCACUGCUUAGUAGCGAAGYUAACGCGUGAAAUCGACCGCCUGGGGAGUACGGUCGCAAGAUUAAAACUCAAAGGAAUUGACGGGGACCCGCACAAGCGGUGGAUGAUGUGGAUUAAUUCGAUGCAACGCGAAGAACCUUACCKGUCUUGACA
rnacentral:rRNA from 1 species